GGCAGAGGGGACACAGCUCCGGCUGGAGGUGGCAGAGGGGACACAGCUCAUGUUUGCAGCAGCAGCGGGGACACAGCUUCUGUUGGGAGUGACAGAGGGGACACAGCUCCUGUUGGGGGGACGGAGGGGACAGAGCUCCUGUUGGGGGGUGGUAGAAGGGACAAAGCUCCUGUUGGGGGGUGGCAGAGGGGACAGAGCUCCUGCUGGAGGUGGCAGAGGGGACACAGCUCCUGCUGGGGGUGACAGAAGGGACACAGCUCCUGCUCGGGGUCGGGGGGGUGAUGAGGUGGGGGACCUCAUCCCGGUGUGUCCCUGCAGGGCUGUGGGUCAGGAACGGGACGGGGCUGAUCCGCAAGGAGGGCCGGCAGCUGUACUGGACCUUCGUCUCCUCCCAGCUGGGAUACUGGGCAGCGGCUCUGCCCUCCCCCAGCACGGGGCUGGUGGCGAUGGCAGCGGGUGUGACAGACAUCACCACCUACCACACCAUCUUCCUCCUCACCAUCCUGGGUGCCCUGGCCCUGCUCGUCCUCAUCCUCCUCUGCCUCCUCAUCUACUACUGCAGGACAGGGGGGGCUGGCACUGCCCCCCGAGCCAGCGGUGCCUCCAAGCUGCCAUAGGAGCCAGGGGGCCCCUGUCCCCCCACCCUCAUCCCCCUUUGGAUUUUAACUCGUGUUUCUAAACGUUUUCUACGUGGUGAGGAUGAAGAGGGGUCAUUGGGGCCAGGCUGGCACAGAGGGGGGCCAUGGGGAUCCCCCCCGGGUGCCAGGCUGGGCAGGGAGCUGCUGCCUGCACCUGCCUGCACGUCCUGCCUGCUCCUUAGAGGCAUUAAUAUAUUAAACACACAAAAUCCCCCCUGCCUCCGCCUCCUGCCUCAGUUUCCCCCUUGCCAGGAGCCACAGGUGCAGUUUCUCCUAGAAACCGUUUAUUGGGGUGGUGGCACGCGGGGUGGGUGCUGGUGCUGGUGGUGUCCCCAGUGCCAUCAGAGCAGGUCCCAGCGCUGGGGGCUGCACCCCCAGCCCCCUCCAGUGC
rnacentral:lncRNA from 1 species